rnacentral:rRNA from 1 species
GAUGAACGCUGGCGGCGUGCCUAAUACAUGCAAGUCGAGCGAACAGACGAGGAGCUUGCUCCUCUGACGUUAGCGGCGGACGGGUGAGUAACACGUGGAUAACCUACCUAUAAGACUGGGAUAACUUCGGGAAACCGGAGCUAAUACCGGAUAAUAUAUUGAACCGCAUGGUUCAAUAGUUAAAGACGGUUUUGCUGUCACUUAUAGAUGGAUCCGCGCCGCAUUAGCUAGUUGGUAAGGUAACGGCUUACCAAGGCAACGAUGCGUAGCCGACCUGAGAGGGGGAUCGGCCACACUAGAACUGAGACACGGUCCAGACUCCUACGGGAGGCAGCAGUAGGGAAUCUUCCGCAAUGGGCGAAAGCCUGACGGAGCAACGCCGCGUGAGUGAUGAAGGUCUUCGGAUCGUAAAACUCUGUUAUUAGGGAAGAACAAAUGUGUAAGUAACUAUGCACGUCUUGACGGUACCUAAUCAGAAAGCCACGGCUAACUACGUG